rnacentral:rRNA from 1 species
GACGAACGCUGGCGGCGUGCUUAACACAUGCAAGUCGAACGGAAAGGCCCUGCCUUUGUGGGGCGCUAGAGUGGCGAACGGGUGAGUAACACGUGAGUAACCUGCCCUUGACUUUGGGAUAACUUCAGGAAACUGGGGCUAAUACCGGAUAGGAGCUCCUGCUGCAUGGUGGGGGUUGGAAAGUUUCGGCGGUUGGGGAUGGACUCGCGGCUUAUCAGCUUGUUGGUGGGGUAGUGGCUUACCAAGGCCUUGACGGGUAGCCGGCCUGAGAGGGUGACCGGCCACAUUGGGACUGAGAUACGGCCCAGACUCCUACGGGAGGCAGCAGUGGGGAAUAUUGCACAAUGGGCGGAAGCCUGAUGCAGCAACGCCGCGUGCGGGAUGACGGCCUUCGGGUUGUAAACCGCUUUCGCCUGUGACGAAGCGUGAGUGACGGUAAUGGGUAAAGAAGCACCGGCUAACUACGUG